CCUACGGGAGGCAGCAGUGAGGAAUAUUGGUCAAUGGCCGUAAGCCUGAUGCAGCCAAGCCGCGUGAGUGAAGACUGCCCUCUGGGUUGUAAGCCUCUUUUGUGGGGGGAUAAAGGUGUCCACGUGUGGAUGUUUGCAGGUACCGCAUCCAUAAGGCACGGCUAAUUCCGUGCCGGCAGCAGCGGUAAUACGGAAGGUCCGGGCGUUAUCCGGAUUUAUUGGGUUUAACGGGAGCGUAGGCCGGUCUUUAAGCGUGCCGUGAAAUUUUGUGGCUCAACCAGGAGAGUGCGGCGCGAACUGGAGAGCUUGAGUGCGCGGGAGGCAGGCGGAAUUCGUGGUGUAGCGGUGAAAUGCUUAGAUAUCACGAAGAACACCGAUGGCGAAGGCAGCCUGCCGCAGCGUUACUGACGCUGAAGCUCGAAAGCGCGGGUAGCGAACAGGAUUAGAUACCCGUGUAGUC
rnacentral:rRNA from 1 species